CACCCCGCCCCAGGGAGGCCGGGGCGGAAGCUGGCCAAGCGGCAGGCGCCCUGGGCCCGCGGGGGAGACGCGGAGCCAUGGCCAAGCUUCUGUGGACGCUAGCCGGAAAACCAAACGGCCACCUGCCCCGUCCCUUGAUCUUCCUCCUGAUAACACUGGUCCUGGUCCUCCUUGGCUACGGGGUCCUGAGCCCCAGAAGCCGGAUGCUGGGGAGCCUGGGAGCCAGCGCGGCUGUUAGAGAACCAGACAGCCUGGAAGGGUCAACGCUGUCAAGGAUGAUCUAUCCCCAGCCGAAGGUGCUGACGCCCUCUCGGACAGACGUCCUGGUCUUGACCCCCUGGCUGGCUCCCAUCGUCUGGGAGGGGACUUUCAACAGUGACAUCCUCAACAUGCAGUUCCGGCUCCAGAACACCACCGUUGGAUUAACUGUGUUUGCCAUCAAAAAGUACGUGGUCUUCCUGAAGCUGUUCCUGGAGACGGCGGAGAAGCACUUCAUGGUGGGACACCGGGUCAUCUACUAUGUGUUCACCGACCGGCCAGACAAGGUACCGCACGUGGCGCUGGGGCCGGGCCGGCGGCUGCAGGUGCUGCGCGUGCAGGCCUACGCGCGCUGGCAGGACGUGUCCAUGCGGCGCAUGCAGAUGCUCAGCGAGGCUGCGGAGCAGCGCUUUCUGCACGAGGUGGACUACCUGGUGUGCGCCGACGUGGACAUGCAGUUCCACGACCACGUGGGUGUGGAGAUCCUGUCUUCGCUCUUCGGCACCCUCCACCCUGGCUUCUACCAGCGUCCCCGCGAGGCCUUCACCUACGAGCGCCGGCCCCAGUCCCAGGCCCACAUCCCCCAGGACGAGGGCGACUUUUACUACAUGGGCGCCUUCUUCGGGGGUUCGGUGCCCGAGGUGCAGCGGCUCACCAAGGCCUGCCACCAGGCCAUGAUGGCCGACCGGGCCCAAGGCAUCGAGGCCGUGUGGCACGACGAGAGCCACUUGAACAAGUACCUGCUGUAUCACAAGCCCACCAAGGUGCUGUCCCCGGAGUACAUGUGGGACCAGCAGCUGCUGGGCUGGCCCUCGGUCCUGAGGAAGCUGAGGUUUGUGGCUGUGCCCAAGAACCACCAGGAGAUCCGGAGGUCUGAUCCCGAGAGCCCACCCGCUGGCGCCCCGGAGAGCUCAGGGCUGGCUGACCGGGCAGCCGGGUCUCCCUCCAGGGCCACCCGAAGCUAAAACCAGUUUCAGCAGAAAGGGUGCGACUCUGCUUCCUUUUUCUUUCCUGCUGGGAGAAGUCGCUGAAGCCUAACGCCCACCCCACCCUCAAAUUCAGGCCACUGUAGCACCACACCCCGGAGACCACAGACCCAGGCAGACAGACAGGCCCAGGCAGACAGACAGAGACACACAGACACACACACACACACACACACACACACACGCAUGCACGCACACACUUAAGCCACCCCAAUUCAGGGCCUUGGGCAUCAGUUCCUGGCAGGGCCACCGCCUGCAGCUCCCGCAUGUGCUCCCGAGGCAACUCCAGCUCCGACAGGGCAAGUGGUCUCAGCCCCUCCUAACAGGGGAUCAGAUGUAAGUCUCUUCCAGAGCAAUGAAGGAGCCUCCAGGACACAUGGUCUCAGGGGGGCCUGUGUGCCAAGAUGCCAGCACAUGUCCUGAGCUUUAGGCAAAAUACCUUCAUCUUCUUGAAGGCUCCUGCCCACAGCCUGCCUGGCACCUGCUCCCCCCAGGGUUCCCCAGCCCCCACUCAGCUCAGGAAAGGCUCCAGCCUGAUCCCCUGUUGCUCAAGCCAGACACUCUCCCUCCUGCCCGGUGCCCUCUCUCCUCUGCAGGGCAGGCUCCGGCCUCCAGGCCUUUCUGGGACCUUCCAGUCCCUCCCUCCCUUGCUUUCUGUGCUCAAAUGGCAGUGGCAGAGAGCCUGUCCCGGCUGGCCACUCCAAAACAGCACCUCCCCCCGACUCUGCUGCCUUAGUGUGCUUGUUUCUCAGCACCGCAUACUGAAAACAUUUUAUUCUGACAUUAUGACAGAUUCACAGGAAGCUGAACAAGUUGUAUAGAAAGAGGGUUCCAUGUCCCUUUACCCGGUUUCCCCCGUUGGCCGCCUCCUCUUUAACCACACAGAGGCCAGGAGACCGACGCGGGUACAAUGCGCAGAGCUCUGUGCCACUGCACCUGCGCGGAUCCCCGUAACCACCGCGGCAACCAGGGUCCGGCUGUCCCCGCACAGAAGGCUCCCGCGCCACUCCAGGUGUCGUCAGGCCACCCUCCCGCCCCGCCAUCUGUUCAUCUCUGGCUUUGUCCUUUUGAGAGUGUCAUAUAAAUGGGGUCAUGUGGUAUGUGAACUCCUGCGAUUGUGCAUAUCGAUACUUCCCUCCUUCACGUCACUGACCAGUGUUCCAUGGUCUGCGUGUGCCGGUUUGUGUGACCGUUCACCUGUUAAAGGACACUGUCUGCUGGUACAACUUCUACCCAGUAUUGUAGCAGCAGUUUUAGCCCGGAGAGUUAUGCAAAUAAAAUAAGUAACACACAUCCAGAUCAGAAAAGAAGAAGUAAAACCAUCUUUAUUUGCAGAUGACAUGAUGUUAUAUAUGGAAAGCUCCAACAAAUCCAGGAAAAAAACCAUUUUCCAGAAUGAGCUUGUUUACGUCAACAUAAAAUCAUGCUGGGAUUCUGAUAGGAAUCGAGUUAAACCUAUGGAUCACUCUGGGGAGAACUGACAUCUGUGCAGCUUCCAACUUCCCCUGUGGAAAAGGCCACAGGUCUGCUUGUGGUUUGUGUUUUUCCCUGGCGGGUCCUCAGUUUGGCUUAAUAAACCUCCCUUGAUUGA